ACACACGGAUAACAUACCGAAAGGUAUGCUAAUACGGGAUAAUAUAUUUGAGAGGCAUCUCUUAAAUAUCAAAGGUGAGCCAGUACAGGAUGGACCCGCGUCUGAUUAGCUAGUUGGUAAGGUAACGGCUUACCAAGGCGACGAUCAGUAGCCGACCUGAGAGGGUGAUCGGCCACAUUGGAACUGAGACACGGUCCAAACUCCUACGGGAGGCAGCAGUGGGGAAUAUUGCACAAUGGGCGAAAGCCUGAUGCAGCAACGCCGCGUGAGUGAUGAAGGCCUUCGGGUCGUAAAACUCUGUCCUCAAGGAAGAUAAUGACGGUACUUGAGGAGGAAGCCCCGGCUAACUACGUGCCAGCAGCCGCGGUAAUACGUAGGGGGCUAGCGUUAUCCGGAUUUACUGGGCGUAAAGGGUGCGUAGGCGGUCUUUCAAGUCAGGAGUGAAAGGCUACGGCUCAACCGUAGUAAGCUCUUGAAACUGGGAGACUUGAGUGCAGGAGAGGAGAGUGGAAUUCCUAGUGUAGCGGUGAAAUGCGUAGAUAUUAGGAGGAACACCAGUUGCGAAGGCGGCUCUCUGGACUGUAACUGACGCUGAGGCACGAAAGCGUGGGGAGCAAACGGGAUUAGAUACCCUGGUAGUCCACGCUGUAAACGAUGAGUACUAGGUGUCGGGGGUUACCCCCUUCGGUGCCGCAGCUA
rnacentral:rRNA from 1 species